CCUCUCUCUCUCCCUCCCGCGCCCCUUCCUGCCCCGCCGUCGCCGUCGCCGCUCCCCGCACUCGCUCCUCCUCCCCCCGCAUCUCCCUCCCUCCCACGCAGCCGCCUCUCUCCCUCGGGCACACUGGGGCAGGGGGUCUCUCCGGGGACGACAGGGCUGCCGGCCGGAGUUGGAUCGAGAUCCCGGCCCGCAUCGCGCCUUGACAAAGCAGCAGGCCAAGGCGGCGCUGCCCUUCUCCGCCCUGUGCGUGCGGAUAUCCAGCAACUACUACCCCAACCUCGGCGCCCUCCGCAACGCCUCCCACGUCAGCCUCACCGACGCCGCAUACGUCGAGAUCUCCGAGGGCGACUUCUGAUACGUCCUUGACGACGUGCGCCACCUCGCCCCCGACGUCCCGAUAAAUGAUGAUGUAGUAAUGGAUGCCUUCUGAACGCUACAUGUGUGGUUCCUGAAUUGGACCAUAUAUUUCCGCGAAGAUCUUCAAGGUGAAUGCUUCUUUUGUCAUGUUCGCUCGGUCAUCGAACAAACCCUAGCCUGUUUCGACUGAUUUCCUUCUAUGCUCGGUUGUUUGAUGGGUUCGUGCUCGUCGGCGGGAUGGUGCAAGGCGCAACUCCUAUGCGGUUCCUCGCCGGUUGGACGGUGUUCAGGCGCAACCCCGGCGUGCACUGAGUACUGCCUCGGCUACAGCCUCCCUCGGCCGAUUCAGUCCCCGGUCGAGCACUUCAUUGUACCAAGGGAAGGCUGUAGGCACGCCCGUGUCUGCCGCAAAUGAAGAACAGUUAGUGACCUUCUCAUUAUGGCCAUUGUCGAGAAAGAGGGGAAGACUGUCGAAGUUGGUAGAGCCCACUUUGCGACUGAAAAUACAAGAUUCACUAUCUUGGAUGCACCGGUUCUUUUCUUUCACAUUUUACUUCGAUGCUCCUAUGUCUUGGUUUAUUUUUCUUGCAUGGCACUGUUAUGCUUCUCUGGAUUAUCUAUGAUUUUGUGACCACACCAGCAUUCUGAGGGCCAGCCUAUAGUUUGAACUGUACAAGAUUGUAGUCUUUUUUUCUUGCCAAAUCUAUUCUGGUAAUGGUCAAUCUAGAUUAUUCGACUAUACAUCAUACAAGGGUUCAAAUAUAUAGAUUUUUGUUGUUACCUUAUAUUUUUAUCAGAAUAAGAAUGAACCUUGAAUUAUGUACCUUCCAAGCCCAUGUUUUUGAUCUUUACGCAGUUUCUUGUGUAAUUCUAAUGGGCACCUAUGUAGAUUUUUGUAUCCUGAUCAUAGGAAAAUUUGCUUUGUAUUAUUAUGGGAUGUGUUAUCUCUUAUCUCAAUGGCCACUCUCUUAUUUGAUGUGCCCACAUGCUUUUUGAUGGAUGCGACCUGUUAUGUGGAGUGGACUUAGGCAGUGUGCGGCAAGCUGCACUACUUACCUGUUAAUGUACUUCUUAACAUCAGGGCAUCGUAUGUUGAAAAGGGAAAAUGACAGUGCUCUUAAAAUAUGCCUAUGCUAAUAUGGACAUACGAGUCACAUGUGCACCUGCUCAAUGAAGCCUUUAAAAGCCUUAUCAUUUUUUCUUUAUGUAGAUGACCUGAAGGCAUGUGUUAUGUCGGAUGGCAGCUGUUCCUAUGCUGAAGUUAUUUUUUCUCUUCCCUUUCUUCCAUUAUUUUCAUGUGUGUCAAUUAGAAGAAUUAUAUUUUAUUGUUGUGCCUACUGAUUAACUAGAACAAGUUGAGCCAAUAUUUAGACGUAGGAGUCAGCAUUAAUAGUUUAUGAGUAAUGCUUAUAGUUUACUGUCAACUACUUUUUACUCAUGAGCAUAUAUAGAUUGUGACCAUAAUUGUGGGCAUUAUGGGAGGCAACUCACUGGAUAAAUAUAAUGGACUCUGGGUGGUGAAUUUGGUAGCUUUCGAAAUGGGCCUUACUCUCUGGUUUUUCCUUCCACGACAAGAAGGUGUAGGAGUCGGCACGACGCUGUGUAAGGUAGUGAUGAUCUCUGACGUGAGAUACUUAUGUGAUUCUAACGUCGAUGUCUCCCUUCGCAAGCAUAACAAUGUGCGCUGGUCGACUGGAAGUCAAGGUUCUGGCCGAUUGAUUUAUGUCUUGAAUUUCCUUUGUGCUCAUCAAUCCCGUGAGUUAUUGUACAUGCACCCCCAUUCUUAUGCUGAAGAAUAAAAAAAUGUGAAUGAUUUUGUAGGAGUUUGGAGUACUAUGGGCUUUUCUAAAGAUUCACACCACAUCGACUUCUGGAGCAGGCAUUCACCUUAAUGCAGGGGACGUAUGAUCUUUCAGACAGCACCUCGAGCAAGAUCUUCUGACGGGGCUAUCCAAUACACUACUAUCACCAUAUGACAUAGAAGAACUAUAUAUAUCCAUUCUCUUAGGCUACUGUUAGGACUUGCUUUUGGUAUAUCAUGUGACAUUUUCCUCCUAUAUCUUUUUUUGAGAAAUUCAAACGAUGGAAUCAGUGGUCUAUAUUUCCUUCAAUCUGAAAAUAUAUAUUGUAUAACGAGUAGUAGACUAGGUGGGUGCUGCUAUUGUGCUUUGCUAUUUGUGUAACAGCCUGAAUCCAAUAUGAAUUGUGUUUUACCAAGUUGGAUAUAAUUCUCAAUGCAUUGUAAACAAAUUA